CGGCAACAGUCGACUUCAGCACAAGCUCGUCGCUUGAAAUUUUGUAAUUUUGAUAGCCUUCAGUGAUUAUAAUUAAACUAGAUAACAUCACUGGAUAGUGGCUUUUCAUCUUCCUACUGCAACAUUUAAACGCUUUCCUUUGCAAUCUGCGAGUGCAGAUCUGCACAUGUCAAAGAGACAGGAGGAAUGGAUCGGAUCCUAAAAGCUGCAAGAACCUCUGGUUCCCUCAACCUCUCCAAUCGCUCUCUUAGAGAUGUGCCCGAUGAGGUAUACCGAAGUUUGGAUGCAGUCGGGGCGGGUGAGAAGUGGUGGGAGGCUGUAGAGCUGCAAAAGCUGAUUUUGGCUCAUAAUAAUAUUGAGUCUUUAAAGGAAGACCUGAGAAAUUUAACUCAACUUACUGUGUUGAAUGUUAGUAAUAACAAACUCACGGAGCUUCCAGCUGCAAUCGGAGAGUGAAUGCUUGCCUUGCUUAAAUCAUUAGAGGUGUCAUUUAACAUGAUACAGAAAGUGCCUGAGGAAAUUGGAUCAGCAGCCGCUCUUGUCAAGUUUGAUUGUUCGGGCAAUCAACUUAAGGAACUUCCAAGUUCACUUGGAAGAUGUUUAGAUUUAUCUGAAUUGAAGGCAUCAAACAACUUUAUCAGCAGCUUGCCUGAGGACCUAGCAAACUGUUCAAAAUUGACAAAAGUAGAUGUCGAGGGAAACAAGCUAAAAAAUUUUUCUGGGAGUUUGAUGGCAUCAUGGACCAUGCUUACAGAACUAAAUGCAUCAAAGAACAUGCUGACAGUUAUACCGGACAACUUUGGAAGCCUUUCACGGCUCAUUCGUCUUGAGCUUCAUCAGAACAGAAUUUCUUCGAUUCCACCAUCAAUAAGGGGUUGCUGUUCCCUCAUGGAAUUUUAUAUGGGGUCAUACUCUAUUACUCUCAUCCAUUUUUACAUUUGAAUUGUUAUGUGGAUUUUCUCUUGAACUAUUCCACUUUUGAAACUUAUCAUUCGGGAUUUGUUUUGUCACCUCAUAUUUUAAGGAACAAUUCACUUUCUACUUUACCAGCAGAGAUUGGGGAACUUUGUCGCUUAGCAACACUAGAUCUUCACUCAAACCAGGUCUGCUUGGUUUUAUUUUAUUCUAAAAUGAUAGUAUAUUUGGUUGUUGAGACAGGUUAGACUGUUAGUACAGAUAUACAAUGGUUUAUUUGAUCUGAUCGCUAUAGUUCAUUUUCACACUUUCACUUGAAAGUUGACAGGAAAUCAUUUCCAUUCCAAAUUAAUAAUUUUGUAUCAGCACCAAUAUUUAGUAUUUUACAAUCCAUGAAUCAUAAUAAUUGCUUUGAAGAUAUAGUUGCACUAGUCAUUUAGGAGAGCUCAAAUUGCAAUUUAUUCAUUGCUCUUAUGUUCUAAUGGAUUGAUUUCUGAAGAAAUCUUUAAAAUCAUAGCUAAUAAUAGUGAUUGAUUAGAUCAAAUGUGAAGUAUUAUACAGAGUGAUAUUAUCAUGGUUAUCUCAGAGACUCUGGGUACUGGAUCACUAAAUUAUGACCUGAAUACUAAUUGCUUCAUACAAGUGCAGCUGAAGGAGUUUCCCAUGGAGGCAUGCAAAUUACAUCUUUCAGUCCUGGAUCUUUCAAAUAAUUCAUUGAGUGGAUUGCCCUCAGAGAUUGGAAAGAUGACAACUUUGAGAAAACUGUUGCUUACUGGCAAUCCAUUGCGAACCAUACGCAGCUCAUUGGUUUCUGGACCUACACCUGCUUUAUUGAAGUAUCUUCGAAGUAGACUUUUUGAAGAUUCUGAAGUUACUACUCCAGCAAAGGAGGAUGUUAUUGCCAUGGCAGCUCGGUUAUCUGUUUGUUCCAAGGGCUGGGUUUGAAUGCUGUUCCAUCAGAAAUAUGGGAAUCAGGUGAAGUUGUAAAAGUUGAUCUUUCUAGGAAUUCCGUCCAAGAGCUGCCAGUUGAACUUUCUUUAUGCAUCUCCCUCCAGAGUUUGAUUUUAUCCAGGAACAAGAUCCAAGAGUGGCCUGGCGCAAUUCUGAAAUCACUUGCUAAUCUUUCAUGUUUGAAGCUAGACUAUAAUCCACUCGGACAGAUUCCAUCAAAUGGAUUUCAAGCAGUCUCAAUGCUUCAGAUUCUGGAUCUAAGUGGUAAUCCAUCUUCAUUACCUGACCAUUCAGCAUUUUCUAGCUUGCCUCAUUUGCAAGAGCUUUACCUAAGACAUGUGCGAUUGCAUGAGGUACCGUCAGAUAUAUUGAGCUUACAACAACUGCGAAUCCUCGACUUGAGCCAAAAUGCUUUACAAUCAAUCCCAGAGGUAAUAAUUGUGUUUGUUAGACAAAACAUAUUCAACAUAUGAAACUGCUGCUUUUGUAUUAAGAACUUGUUAAAAGUCAGCAUUUUUUUCCCAUGACUUUAAUUUUGAGAUAUAAAAGAGACUUGGAAAAGGAUUCGUCUAGUACAUAAAAGGUUUGUGCAUAAUUUUUCCUCUUUUUUUCUGUGUUCAGCCAGUUUGAAAUUUUUAUUUCUUAGUUAUUUUAUUGAGUGCUGAAGUAAAAGUGCCAACUUUAUAUCCUUUUUUUAAAAAUAGAAAAUAUCUUAUUCCCUUUUGGUGCAUUGCCUGCCAGUACGUUCUUGACUGUGUUAAUUUUGCAUGCAGGGUUUCAAAACUCUUACUUCUCUUACUGAGCUUGACCUGUCAGACAACAAUAUUUCAGCACUUCCACCAGAGCUGGGUUUACUUGAACCAAGCCUACAGGCCUUGAGACUUGGUGGGAAUCCACUGAGAAGCAUCCGAAGGACAAUUUUGGAUAGAGGAACAAAAGCUGUUCUGAAGUAUUUAAAGGACAAAAUUCCAGAGCAGUAGCAUUGUUCAUAUCACCCUGAUACUCCAGGUUGCUUUCAUUUUAUUUUUUUAAUUUUUUUGGGGUCUAGAAAUGCGAUUUGAAGGAUUUCUUUUGCUAAUUCUGAGUUUGACCAUUUGCAACAUAAACAUCGGUACAAACAAAUGGCCACAUUGCUUCUAUUCAUAAGAUACUUUGUUUGACCAUUGUUGAUUGCCCUCUUUGCUUUUUGCAACUUAUUUUGUUGAUUUUAUGAAAAUAAAAUUAAGCUGGCUUCAAUAAUUAUCAUAUAUUACUAAAACUAGAUCAAUUGAAACUGAAAAUAAAAAAUAUAUAUUUUCCCUUGCAGUCUAUUCAAUACAUUAAAGGAAAAUUACAAUUUACUAAUUAAUAGUUUGGCACAUUUGUCAAGUAGGAUAUUAAUUUGUGAAAAAUAGCUUGUGACAAAUACCAUAUAUGGCACAUUAUUAGGGUUUGUGAAAUUUUGAAGCCAUCUUUGGUUGAUUAGAAAAAUAUCAUGUGUAUCAUUUCUUGAAGAACUGAACAGCUGCUAUAGAUUAAAGAAUGGACUCAACUCCAAAAGAUAUGGUAUUAAAUACUACAUAAUUUAAUAUUAGAAUCAUUUCAUUGCCACUACAGCUCCUAUUGUGCCUAUUUUAUUCUUAAGCUACUUUUAGCUCCAUUGAUUGGAUUCUAUCAUGUCCUUAGUUCUUUGGUUUGGAAUUUUAUUUAGUUUAUUUCUAUUUUUCAAAUUGUUGUUUGUUUUCUUUCACUAUUAUAUAUGCCACUAUUAGUUAGGUGCAACUAGAGAUUAAAAACUGCAGAAUGCAAAAUCUGCAUAUGCAGAUUGUUUCUGCAAUCUGCAAUUUGCAUAUGCAGAUCACAAAUUACAGAAUCUGCAAACUGCAAGCAAUCUACAAUCUACAAAUUCUGCAA
rnacentral:misc_RNA from 1 species